rnacentral:tRNA from 1 species
GUGCUGUAGCUCAGGUGGUAGAGCAAUGGACUGAAAAUCCAUGUGUCACUGGUUCAACUCCCGUCAGCACC